rnacentral:rRNA from 1 species
CCUACGGGUGGCUGCAGUGGGGAAUAUUCCACAAUGGGGGCAACCCUGAUGCAGCAACGCCGCGUGAAGGAAGACGGUUUUCGGAUCGUAAACUUCUGUUCUUAGUGAAGAAUAAUGACGGUAGCUAAGGAGCAAGCCACGGCUUACUACGUGCCAGCAGCCGCGGUAAUCCGUAGGUGGCCAGCGUUGUCCGGACUUACUGGGUGUAAAGGGGGCGCAGGCGGGAAGCCAAGUCAGCUGUGAAAACUACGGGCUUAACUUGUAGACUGCAGUUGAAACUGGUGUUCUUGAGUGAAGGAGAGGGUGGCGGAAUUCCGAGGGUAGCGGUGAAAUGCGUAGAUAUACGGAGGAACACCGGUGGCGAAGGCGGCCAACUGGGCUUUAACUGACGCUGAGGCUCGAAAGUGUGGGGAGCAAACAGGAUUAGAUACCCUUGUAGUC